rnacentral:rRNA from 1 species
ACGAACGCUGGCGGCGUGCUUAACACAUGCCAGUCGAACGGAAAGGCCCUGCUUUUGUGGGGUGCUCGAGUGGCGAACGGGUGAGUAACACGUGAGUAACCUGCCCUUGACUUUGGGAUAACUUCAGGAAACUGGGGCUAAUACCGGAUAGGAGCUCCUGCUGCAUGGUGGGGGUUGGAAAGUUUCGGCGGUUGGGGAUGGACUCGCGGCUUAUCAGCUUGUUGGUGGGGUAGUGGCUUACCAAGGCUUUGACGGGUAGCCGGCCUGAGAGGGUGACCGGCCACAUUGGGACUGAGAUACGGCCCAGACUCCUACGGGAGGCAGCAGUGGGGAAUAUUGCACAAUGGGCGGAAGCCUGAUGCAGCAACGCCGCGUGCGGGAUGAAGGCCUUCGGGUUGUAAACCGCUUUCGCCUGUGACGAAGCGUGAGUGACGGUAAUGGGUAAAGAAGCACCGGCUAACUACGUG